GAGGACAUAGCUCAAGAGGUAGAGUGCAUGCUCAGCACGCAUGAGGUCCUGGGUUCAAUCCCCAGUACCUCCA
rfam:Camelus ferus unplaced genomic scaffold scaffold1086, whole genome shotgun sequence.